rnacentral:lncRNA from 1 species
GAUUUUGGUGUUCAGAUCUAGAUGGACGACUUUGAUGUGAUCUUCUCUUUGUUUUUUUAGCAUUAGGCCCAGCUUAUACCUCAAACUUUUUUCUUGAGAUGGUUGGUAACAAGAGACUAUCUGAAAACACAAAGAGAUCAUAAUAAAGAUAAUGAAAACUUGAAGAUUAAAAGAGCAAAAGAAUGGUUUAAGUCAGAUCAAAUAACUUGUGCAAAAGAUGACAGAACUAGAACGCUGGUACUAAUUAAGAUGGAGAAAUAUGAGAAAUUCCUUUUGGAGUACAUUAGAGAAAUGAAUGCUAUUGAAAUUCAAGGAAAUCCAACUGAAAAACUCUUGGCUAAUGUGUACGAACUGUUAAAAAAUAAAUUUUGUCCAAAGUUUUUAAAGAAUACAUUAGUUAAAGUGCCUAGGACACCGAAAUUUUUCAUAUUCAUCAAGUACCAUAAAAAUCCUUUGUCAGUUAGACCUGUUGAAGAAAAUAUUGUCCAAUUUACCUACUAGAAAAACAUCUGGCUAAAUGGUGAUACAAUAAAUUAUCAGAUUUUAUUGUGAAAUCUGUUAGAGAAUUAAUUGAUAAAGUAUUGGAGCAAGGUCCUUCAUUAAAAGGAAAGUUUGAGAUGUAUCACUUUUAAGCUCUUUUCCCAAGUAUAGGAUGUCCCAUAAAGAAUGCAACUUUUGAGUGCAUAAUAACAUACAAAUUUAUUGAUGAAAUUAAGUAAUUUACAU